rnacentral:rRNA from 1 species
GACGAACGCUGGCGGCGUGCUUAACACUUGCAAGUCGAACGGAAAGGCUCCAGCUUGCUGGAGUACUCGAGUGGCGAACGGGUGAGUAACACGUGGGUAAUCUGCCCUGCACUCUGGGAUAAGCCUGGGAAACUGGGUCUAAUACUGGAUAUGACCUUUCUCCUUAUGGGGUUUGGUGGAAAGUUUUUCGGUGUAGGAUGAGCCCGCGGCCUAUCAGCUUGUUGGUGGGGUGAUGGCCUACCAAGGCGACGACGGGUAGCCGGCCUGAGAGGGUGAUCGGCCACAUUGGGACUGAGAUACGGCCCAGACUCCUACGGGAGGCAGCAGUGGGGAAUAUUGCACAAUGGGCGGAAGCCUGAUGCAGCGACGCCGCGUGAGGGAUGACGGCCUUCGGGUUGUAAACCUCUUUCAGCAGGGACGAAGCGUAAGUGACGGUACCUGCAGAAGAAGCACCGGCUAACUAUGUG